GAUGACGCGGGCGGCGCGCUUAACACAUGCAAGUCGACCGGUUAAAGCCCUUUUAGGUGUGUAUAAAGUGGCGAACGGCUGAGUAACACGUGGGCAACCUGCCCUCCUCUUGGGGAUAGCCUCGGGAAACCGAGGAUAAUACCCGAUACUUCAAUGUGGCCGCAUGGCGACAUUGAGAAAGCUUUUGCGGAGAAGGAUGGGCCCGCGGCCUGUUAGCUUGUUGGUGGGGUAGAGGCCUACCAAGGCAAUGAUGGGUAGCUGGGUUGAGAGACCGACCAGCCAGAUUGGGACUGAGACACGGCCCAGACUCCUACGGGAGGCAGCAGUGGGGAAUCUUGCACAAUGGGCGAAAGCCUGAUGCAGCGACGCCGCGUGCGGGACGAAGGCCUUCGGGUUGUAAACCGCUUUCAGCAGGGACGAGGCGAAAGUGACGGACCUGCAGAAGAGCCCCGCA
rnacentral:rRNA from 2 species